AGACGUCUACAUUAGACUACCCGGGUAGUCCCAGCCGUAAACUAUGCGCGUUAGGUGUAUCGGUGACCACGAGUUACCGAGGUGCCGAAGGGAAACCGUGAAACGUGCCGCCUGGGAAGUACGGUCGCAAGGCUGAAACUUAAAGGAAUUGGCGGGGAGCACCACAACAGGUGGAGCCUGCGGUUUAAUUGGACUCAACGCCGGGAAGCUCACCGGAUAGGACAGCAGAAUGAUUGCCGGGCUGAAGACCCUGCAUGACUAGCUG
rnacentral:rRNA from 1 species